rnacentral:rRNA from 1 species
UUAGAGUUUGAUCCCUGGCUCAGGACGAACGCUGGCGGCGUGCCUAAUACAUGCAAGUCGAGCGGACAGAAGGGAGCUUGCUCCCGGAUGUUAGCGGCGGACGGGUGAGUAACACGUGGGUAACCUGCCUGUAAGACUGGGAUAACUCCGGGAAACCGGAGCUAAUACCGGAUAGUUCCUUGAACCGCAUGGUUCAAGGAUGAAAGACGGUUUCGGCUGUCACUUACAGAUGGACCCGCGGCGCAUUAGCUAGUUGGUGGGGUAAUGGCUCACCAAGGCGACGAUGCGUAGCCGACCUGAGAGGGUGAUCGGCCACACUGGGACUGAGACACGGCCCAGACUCCUACGGGAGGCAGCAGUAGGGAAUCUUCCGCAAUGGACGAAAGUCUGACGGAGCAACGCCGCGUGAGUGAUGAAGGUUUUCGGAUCGUAAAGCUCUGUUGUUAGGGAAGAACAAGUGCGAGAGUAACUGCUCGCACCUAGACGUACCUAACCAGAAAGC